CUAAGAAAGACAUAGUGGUUAUGGUGUUGGCUUGAAACCAGUUUUAGAGGGUUCGACUCCUUCCUUUCUU
rnacentral:tRNA from 1 species